GGCCUCUGCAGAGCUUUGCCGGAAGCACGCGCCGGCCAACUUCAGCCGGUUCUACUUCCCGUACCGCACGGCCACUGGGCUCCUCUGCGUCACCAACUGCACCCUCAACGUCCCCGGCUCCUUCGACUGCCACCGCGGGCUCUGCCUGCUCACCCUGGAGGGACCCCAGUGCUUCUGCCCGGACCUGCCCUGGUUCCUCUCGGCCGGUGACCGCUGCCAGACCCACAUCAGCAAACUGGGGCUGGGCCUGGGCGUGGGGCUGGGGCUGGGCCUGACCAUCCUCAUCCUCCUCAUCCUCUGCAUCGUCCUCUGCGUCCGCUUGGCCCAAGGGAGGAAGAAAUCACCUGGAGCCAGACCCCUGAAACUUGCCCGGCUCCACAGCGAGGCCGCCGAGGACGCGUGGCCGGACGGGGGCCGCGGCGGCCGCGUCACCGGGAUCUACCACGUCAACGGCGGAGGCGGCGCUGCCGGGAAAGGUGGGACCCGAAACGGGGGGUGAAACCAUCCCUGGAGAGGGAAAAUCCCCCCAAAUCCUCGUGGGGUCAUCGUCCUCCUCCUCCUCCUCUUCCUCCCGCCAGGUCCUCACAACACCUACAAGCCCAGCUCGGAGGUGGCGGAACCGCCGGCAUCGGUGGGUGACGUCGUUUGGGGGUGGUCCUCAGCCCAAGAUUGACCUGGAACCCCAAUUUUGAUCCCAAAACCCAAACCG
rnacentral:lncRNA from 1 species